ACAAGCGGUGGAGCAUGUGGUUAAUUCGACGCAACGCGAAGAACCUUACCAGGCUUGACAUCCCCUGACCGCGUAUGAAAGUACGUUUUCGACCCUCGGGUGACAGGGAGACAGGUGGUGCAUGGUUGUCGUCAGCUCGUGUCGUGAGAUGUUGGGUUAAGUCCCGCAACGAGCGCAACCCCUACGUUUAGUUGCUAACGCGUGAAGGCGAGCACUCUAGACGAACUGCCGUUGACAAAACGGAGGAAGGUGGGGAUGACGUCAAAUCAUCAUGCCCCUUAUGUUCUGGGCUACACACGUGCUACAAUGGCCGGUACAGACGGACGCAAAGCCGCGAGGUGGAGCAAAUCCUAAAAAGCCGGUCUCAGUUCGGAUUGCAGGCUGCAAUUCGCCUGCAUGAAGUCGGAAUCGCUAGUAAUCGCAGGUCAGCAUACUGCGGUGAAUACGUUCCCGGGCCUU
rnacentral:rRNA from 1 species